rnacentral:rRNA from 1 species
UACAGAGGUCUCAAGCGUUGUUCGGAUUCAUUGGGCGUAAAGGGUGUGUAGGUGGCGCGCUAAGUCGGGUGUGAAAUUUCGGAGCUUAACUCCGAAACUGCAUUCGAUACUGGCGUGCUUGAGGACUGGAGAGGAGACUGGAAUUCAUGGUGUAGCGGUGAAAUGCGUAGAUAUCGGGAGGAACACCUGAGGCGAAGGCGGGCUACUGGGCCGAUACUGACGCUGAUGCGCGAAAGCCAGGGGAGCAAACGGG